rnacentral:misc_RNA from 1 species
GAACUGCGAUAAGUAAUGUGAAUUGCAGAAUUCAGUGAAUCAUCGAAUCUUUGAACGCACAUUGCGCCCGCCAGUAUUCUGGCGGGCAUGCCUGUUCGAGCGUCAUUACAACCCUCAGGCCCCCGGGCCUGGCGUUGGGGAUCGGCGGAAGCCCCCUGCGGGCACAACGCCGUCCCCCAAAUACAGUGGCGGUCCCGCCGCAGCUUCCAUUGCGUAGUAGCUAACACCUCGCAACUGGAGAGCGGCGCGGCCACGCCGUAAAACACCCAACUUCUGAAUGUUGACCUCGAAUCAGGUAGGAAUACCCGCUGAACUUAAGC